AGAGUUUGAUCAUGGCUCAGAAGAAAAACGGGGGCAGGGUUCACCACAUGCGAGCCCAGCGAGACCUUCCGGCCUACCGGUGGACGGGUGAGUAAUGCGUGGGAACAUGCCCUUCUCUACGGAAUAACCCCGGGAAACUGGGAGUAAUACCGUAUACGCCCUUUGGGGGAAAGAUUUAUCGGAGAAGGAUCGGCCCGCGUUGGAUUAGGUAGUUGGUGGGGUAAUGGCCCACCAAGCCGACCAUCCAUAGCUGGUUUGAGAGGAUGAUCAGCCACACUGGGACUGAAACACGGCCCAAACUCCUACGGGAGGCAGCAGUGGGGAAUCUUAGACAAUGGGGGCAACCCUGAUCUAGCCAUGCCGCGUGAGUGAUGAAGGCCUUAGGGUUGUAAAGCUCUUUCAGCUGGGAAGAUAAUGACGGUACCAACAGAAGAAGCCCCGGCUAACUCCGUGCCAGCACCCGCGGUAAUACGGAGGGGGCUAGCGUUGUUCAGAAUUACUGGGCGUAAAGCGCACGUAGGCGGACUGGAAAGUCAGAGGUGAAAUCCCAGGGCUCAACCUUGGAACUGCCUUUGAAACUAUCACUCUGGAGUUCGAGAGAGGUGAGUGGAAUUCUGAGUGUAGAGGUGAAAUUCGUAGAUAUUCAGGAGAAACACCAGUGGGCGAAGGCGGCUCACUGGCUCGAUACUGAACUCUGAGGUGCGAAAGGCGUGGCGGAGCAGACAUGAUUAGAAUACCCUGGUUAGUCCACGCCGUAAACGAUGAAUGCAGACGUCAGCAAGCCAUGGCUGUCCGUAGUCAACAACCUAACCGGUAUUAAAGCCAUUUCCUGCUAGCAGACGGUCGCAAGAUUAAAACUCAAAGGAAUUGACGG
rnacentral:rRNA from 1 species